rnacentral:misc_RNA from 1 species
GUGAAUCAUCAAAUCUUUGAACGCAAAUUGCACUGUCUGGUAUUCCGGAAAGUAUGCCGGUUUGAGGGUCAGUUAAAUAAAAAUCGGUGUUGUUGCUGCCUUUCGUGGUGACGCGUCGGAAUUGGGUCGUCUUACCUUCGGUUAAGUGACUUAAAAUUUUGCAUGAUUUUCGGACGUAUUUAAAUUGCUUAGGUUCGUUUGAGGUUUUGAAU